GACGAGGGAUCCUAGCGUUGUUCGGAAUCACUGGGCGUAAAGCGCGUGUAGGCGGCUUUGCAAGUCGGGUGUGAAAGCCCUCGGCUCAACCGAGGAAGUGCGCCCGAAACUGCAGAGCUUGAGUGCCGGAGGGGAUGGCGGAAUUCCCCAAGUAGAGGUGAAAUUCGUAGAUAUGGGGAGGAACACCGGUGGCGAAGGCGGCCAUCUGGACGGUCACUGACGCUGAGACGCGAAAGCGUGGGGAGCAAACAGG
rnacentral:rRNA from 1 species